AUGAAUUGUUAGAUUGUGCUGGCUUCGGCAUGUGCACGUCUAUAAUCCAAUACCCCUGUGCACCUUUGACUGCGCGUCCUCUGGACAAGCGGUAUUACACACUCUUUUGAAUGUAUGUGAUAAAGCGAUUAGGCACUUUGUGUCGAUAAAUA
rnacentral:misc_RNA from 1 species